UUCAGGAUUCAACAAUUGCUUGUUGAUUUGGGGUGAAGAUGCCAUGAACUCAGGAGCGGGUGAGGAGGGCCUUUCUCUGCCUCCCAUUCCCAAAGCAUUCUCCCUAACCCCAUGGUGGAGGCUGCGGAGAGUGUUGUAGGCAGUUGCAGUGCCCGUCACUCUCUGGGUGAAGCCAGUAUGUCCUGGUGGUGGCCUUAGAAGACAGCCCCUGUGAGGCUCAGUAAGCCGCAGCCUAGAUUGGAACAGCGUGACUGCCUGGUAGGAUAAAGGAGACGACAUCUGAAAAGAGGGUUUCAGGUGUUUGCAAAGAGGUCAGAUCCCUACACAUGAAACGCUGCGGCCACAGCUGCAGCCAUGCUACCUGCCACAUGCCCUGGCCUGCGUCAGCGUUAUGGAGUAGGCAACCUGGUUCGGCGCAAAGAGGAAAUGCGCGUUCUGUGCCCAGUCCUCGCUCCCCUUUGCCAACCGGGCUGCUGAGUGUGAUGCUCCCUUUGUGAAGUGGACAUCUGUCUAAUGGGAACUGGACGGUGACCACCAGUCCGUUUUACACAGGCCACCAUACAGCUGCCAGGUGGCGCUGGCUCUUAGCUGUUCUGCAAGUCCAGCACAGGGUGUAUUCAGCUCUAGAGGUGGCAAACACGGGGCCCUUCCACCAGGCCCACUCCCUGCAAAGGAAGUGCUUCCGAGAGCCAAGGCUUUGCUCUAAUCUCUGUGAAGGAAGAAAAAGACUUGGGGAAAGGUAAUGAAUAAAUUAAAGACACACUUUUGUAAUCGUAUAUUUUAGGCUUUCCUCUCUACCUAAUUGUGCUCUAAUCUGUACUUAGGAGUAUAGUUUUUUAAGUGGGACAUGUCAGGCUUUUAUGCCACAGAUUAAACUCCAAGGCAAAUAAAUGUGUGACAGCUUAAGAGGCGAAAAGAAGAGUCUUCGUCAAAUGGCAGAGUUUGAUUGUUUAACCUAGACUAAUCAGUCUUUGGAGGGCCUGCCACAUGUCUUCCAGACGGCUAGAAUGCUCAGGAGAUAAGAGUGGGGCCUAUCGCUCUGUGGCUUUCUCCCCCUGCAUUAGCCGCAGAGCUGAGUGAGUCUAUGAAAACCCAUUGGUCGGGCUGCCCUAGCAACACAGAAUGCUGUGCUGACACAUACUCCAUCACAUGUUUGCGAUGAAAAUGCUGUAUUUUUAGAACACUUCAAAGUCAGGAAACCGUUAAACCACACUGCAUCCUCUCUUGCCCUCUGGCCACUUCCUCCACACCCCCAGGAACAUUGCCCCCAUUUCACAGAAAAGGAGCCUGAGACAAAGAUUAAGUGAUAUUUUAAGCAAAGCUGAUAAUCCCAGGGAAAAUUGCUGAUCAAGUCUUGAAAUCCAACACAUCCUUCGGAGUAAUUUUUAAUGCUUUCGCUUCUUUUACCUAAGCCAUGUGUGUUCCAUAUGACCUUAAAUCUAAGCCCUAAUAUUGUAAAUGGAGUUCAGAAGACAACUUAGUCUCCCAUUUUCUUUCCUGGCAUUCAUUCAAAUAAAAAUAGGCACGUAAUACUGUACUGUUAAAAAAAAAAAA
rnacentral:lncRNA from 1 species